rnacentral:rRNA from 1 species
CGCGUAGGCGGAUUAGUUAGUUGGGGUGAAGCCGGAGCUCAACUCCGGAAUUGCCUUCAAUACUGCUAGUCUUGAGUCCGAGAGAGGGUGGUGGAAUUCCAGUGUAGAGGUGAAAUUCGUAGAUAUUGGGAAGAACACCAGUGGCGAAGGCGGCCUGCUGGGCAGUGGCUGACGCUGAGGCGCGACAGCGUGGGAGCAAACA